CUCCCCUUGGUGUAGUUGGUUCAUCACGUUCGACUGUAAUAGGUUCAUUGUCAUCGAAAGGUCUCUAGUUCGAUUCUGGAAGGGGAGA
rnacentral:tRNA from 1 species